rnacentral:rRNA from 1 species
GACAGAGGGUGCAAACGUUGUUCGGAAUUACUGGGCGUAAAGCGCGUGUAGGCAGUUUCGCAAGUCGGGUGUGAAAGCCCUGGGCUCAACCUAGGAAGUGCACUCGAAACUGCGAGACUUGAGUCCUGGAGAGGAAGGCGGAAUUCUCGGUGUAGAGGUGAAAUUCGUAGAUAUCGAGAGGGACACCGGUGGCGAAGGCGGCCUUCUGGACAGUGACUGACGCUGAGACGCGAAAGCGUGGGGAGCAAACAGG